GAUGAACGCUAGCGGGAGGCUUAACACAUGCAAGUCGAGGGGCAGCACGGGGUAGCAAUACUCUGGGUGGCGACCGGCGCACGGGUGAGUAACGCGUAUGUAACCUGUCCUUUACAGGAGGAUAACCCGGAGAAAUUCGGACUAAUACUGCAUAAUAUUAUUUUGGGGCAUCUCGAGAUAAUUAAAACUACGGUGGUAAAGGAGGGGCAUGCGUAACAUUAGCUAGUUGGGAGGGUAACGGCCUACCAAGGCAAUGAUGUUUAGGGGACCUGAGAGGGUGACCCCCCACACUGGUACUGAGACACGGACCAGACUCCUACGGGAGGCAGCAGUGAGGAAUAUUGGUCAAUGGGCGAGAGCCUGAACCAGCCAUCCCGCGUGAAGGAAGAAGGCGCUAUGCGUUGUAAACUUCUUUUCAGGGGAUAAAAUAUUGUAUGUAUACGAUACUGAAGGUACCCUGAGAAUAAGCAUCGGCUAACUCCGUG
rnacentral:rRNA from 1 species